GAUGAACGCCGGCGGUGUGCCUAAUACAUGCAAGUCGAACGCGUUGGCCCAAUUGAUUGAUGGUGCUUGCACCUGAUUGAUUUUGGUCGCCAACGAGUGGCGGACGGGUGAGUAACACGUAGGUAACCUGCCCAGAAGCGGGGGACAACAUUUGGAAACAGAUGCUAAUACCGCAUAACAGCGUUGUUCGCAUGAACAACGCUUAAAAGAUGGCUUCUCGCUAUCACUUCUGGAUGGACCUGCGGUGCAUUAGCUUGUUGGUGGGGUAACGGCCUACCAAGGCGAUGAUGCAUAGCCGAGUUGAGAGACUGAUCGGCCACAAUGGGACUGAGACACGGCCCAUACUCCUACGGGAGGCAGCAGUAGGGAAUCUUCCACAAUGGGCGCAAGCCUGAUGGAGCAACACCGCGUGAGUGAAGAAGGGUUUCGGCUCGUAAAGCUCUGUUGUUAAAGAAGAACACGUAUGAGAGUAACUGUUCAUACGUUGACGGUAUUUAACCAGAAAGUCACGGCUAACUACGUGCCAGCAGCCGCGGUAAUACGUAGGUGGCAAGCGUUAUCCGGAUUUAUUGGGCGUAAAGAGAGUGCAGGCGGUUUUCUAAGUCUGAUGUGAAAGCCUUCGGCUUAACCGGAGAAGUGCAUCGGAAACUGGAUAACUUGAGUGCAGAAGAGGGUAGUGGAACUCCAUGUGUAGCGGUGGAAUGCGUAGAUAUAUGGAAGAACACCAG
rnacentral:rRNA from 1 species